rnacentral:tRNA from 1 species
GGGAGUAGAAGGGUGCUGGUGUGCCCCCUGGUCUUCAAAACCAGUGUUAGGGGUGAGGAGCCUCUUGGGUGGGUUCGAUUCCCACAUAUUCCCGCCA